GGCAGGGUCCGAGGAGGAGGGAGUUAGCGGAGGGAGUGCUGGUGGGGUGGUGGUCAUGAAAAUCAGACGUUCCCAAGCGACACACCCGGACCAGACCGUAGAGAAGAUGCUGGACUUGGUGCGUGGGAAUCAUCAGCGACCCCGGCUAGGGCAGCUUCGGGCAGCGUAGGGAGGAAGCCAGAUUGCAACGGAUUAAGGAGUGAGGGGGUGGCGAGAUUUGCUGUCCUGAUUCAGCCGCCGCGGCGGCAGCCCGGGCUGGCUCUCCUCCCACAGGUGCGGGCUCCACAUGCGACGGGAACACGUGUGCCCACUCGUGCCACAGGCAUGCAGAUGUUUCACCAUUGAAUGAUUUCAUACGACUAUCUGGAUUUCUGGCUUCUCUUGAAAACUGAACAUCUGGUUUCACCUUCCCUCCUGGCUGGGAUUGUGGCUGCCAUCCCAUUUUAGAUGGGUCACCCUUUCUCCGGUUUUCAACAUUCCCCAUCACUGCGUAUAGCUGUACUGUUCAAUAAGGUCAUGGGUGAAAUUGAAAUUCCAGACCGCCCUUCUUCGUGGCAAACCUUUAGAAAUUAGAUUGUACUAGGUCAGUGCUUCUGAAACCUGAAUGUGAACCCCUGGGUGAGAUUAUGAUUCAGUUGGUCUAAGGUGGGACCCACAAAUCUGCAUUUUGACACGUGCCAAGAAGAGGCCAGUGCUGCUAGUCCGGGACCAUACUCUGAAAGACUGUAAACACCAUGUGAAUAGAGAUGACUUCUGUCUACUUCCAUGAGCUCUAGAGCAUCCACAAGCUCCUUACACAUGAGACGAUCAGAGCAUCAGUGGCAACUGAAUGAGACAUGCCAGUUUGGGCUCAGGCUCCAAGAGGACACAUCCAAGUACAUCUCCACGACCAGGAGGUUCAUGCGCUUGGUCCUCUGUGCGUUAAGGGAGCUUGGGCAUUUAUCCAUGACUUUGCACACCUGGUACCCAAGCUGUGAUUUCAGGAUUCUAGGUCUUCAUCUGGAGCAAAGCUGGAGUGUGACUCCAGGGGCCCAGGAAGGCCAAUCUUCAUCCUAAGCCUCUGUAAGAAUAGGGCCAACUUGAAGCUAGUAUGUGUAACUCCGUGCAUUUUCUCCAGAGACGCUGGAACCAUAGGCUUGGCCAAAAAAAGAUGGGAUGUACUAAUCAGUGAUUUAUAACAUGCUGUCAGAAGUCCAAAGCUGCCUGGAGGUGCCCUGUACCAACUUGCUACAUAGUUUAUUGGAAAAACAUAGAUGGAUGGUUGGCACCUGGUUUCAGUUAUUAUGCCUGGUUACUUAGACUGGUUUGGGCUAUGUGACCAGAGGGAAAUAAGAUGAACAUAUGCCUUGGCUUCCCUGAGGCCCAGUUCUUCCCCAUGCACUAGGGGGUUCACGAUGCAGAGGCCGAACCAGUCCCGUGCGACUGAGGGGGGCCUUAGCAACUGCUCGUGGAUGCUGUGGAUCUUCCUGAAGUUGCUCCGAGUUUUCUUACUCUUAUUGUUCUGUAUCCUUUGCCUGUAAUAAAACCAUUCAGGGCCAGGUGCGAUGGUUCACG
rnacentral:lncRNA from 1 species